rnacentral:rRNA from 1 species
CCUACGGGAGGCAGCAGUGAGGAAUAUUGGUCAAUGGACGGAAGGCUGAACCAGCCAUGCCGCGUGCAGGAAGACGGCCCUAUGAGUUGUAAACUGCUUUUGUACAAGGGUAAACCUGAAUACGUUUAUUCAGCUGAAAUUCCUGUACGAAUAAGGAUCGGCUAACUCCGAUCCAGCAGCCGCGGUAAUACGGAGGAUCAAAGCUUUAACCGGAUUUAUUGGGUUUAAAGGGUGCGUGGGCGGAAGGUUAAGUCAGCGGUCAAAUCUCGGUGCUAAACACCGUACUGCAGUUGAAACUGGUCUUCUUGAGUGAGCGAGAAGUAAGCGGAAUGCGUGGUGUAGCGGUGAAAUGCAUAGAUAUCACGAAGAACUCCGAUUGCGAAGGCAGCAUACCGGCGCUCAACUGACGCUGAGGCACGAAAGCGUGGGGAUCGAACAGGAUUAGAUACCCGAGUAGUC